CCUACGGGAGGCAGCAGUGAGGAAUAUUGGUCAAUGGACGAGAGUCUGAACCAGCCAAGUAGCGUGAAGGAUGACUGCCCUAUGGGUUGUAAACUUCUUUUAUAUGGGAAUAAAAUGUUCCACGUGUGGGAUUUUGUAUGUACCAUAUGAAUAAGGAUCGGCUAACUCCGGGCCAGCAGCCGCGGUAAUACGGGGGAUCCGAGCGUUAUCCGGAUUUAUUGGGUUUAAAGGGCGCGUAGGUGGUUUGUUAAGUCAGUUGUGAAAGUUUGCGGCUCAACCGGAAAAUUGCAGUUGAAACUGGCAGACUUGAGUACAGUAGAGGUGGGCGGAAUUCGUGGUGUAGCGGUGAAAUGCUUAGAUAUCACGAAGAACUCCGAUGGCGAAGGCAGCUCACUGGACUGCAACUGACACUGAGGCUCGAAAGUGUGGGUAGCAAACAGGAUUAGAUACCCCAGUAGUC
rnacentral:rRNA from 1 species